rnacentral:rRNA from 1 species
UACGGGGGGGGCAAGCGUUGUUCGGAAUUACUGGGCGUAAAGCGUGCGCAGGCGGUUUUGUAAGUCAGAUGUGAAAUCCCCGAGCUCAACUUGGGAACUGCGUUUGAAACUACAAGACUAGAAUAUGUCAGAGGGGGGUAGAAUUCCACGUGUAGCAGUGAAAUGCGUAGAGAUGUGGAGGAAUACCAAUGGCGAAGGCAGCCCCCUGGGAUAAUAUUGACGCUCAUGCACGAAAGCGUGGGGAGCAAACAGG